UACGUAGGUGGCAAGCGAUACUCGGAAUCACUAGGCGUAAAGCGCAGGUAGGAGGUUUGGAAAGUCUCUUGUGAAAGCUCCCGGCUCAACUGGGAGAGGUCAAGGGAAACUACCAGGCUGGAGUGCGGUAGAGGUAGCUGGAAUUCCCGGUGUAGCGGUGAAAUGCGUAGAUAUCGGGAGGAAUACCUAUGGCGAAAGCAGGCUACUGGACCGUCACUGACUCUGAUCUGCGAAAGCUAGGGGAGCAAACAGG
rnacentral:rRNA from 1 species